CGAACUCUGGUAUUGAUUGGUGCUUGCAUCAUGAUUUACAUUUGAGUGAGUGGCGAACUGGUGAGUAACACGUGGGAAACCUGCCCAGAAGCGGGGGAUAACACCUGGAAACAGAUGCUAAUACCGCAUAACAACUUGGACCGCAUGGUCCGAGCUUGAAAGAUGGCUUCGGCUAUCACUUUUGGAUGGUCCCGCGGCGUAUUAGCUAGAUGGUGGGGUAACGGCUCACCAUGGCAAUGAUACGUAGCCGACCUGAGAGGGUAAUCGGCCACAUUGGGACUGAGACACGGCCCAAACUCCUACGGGAGGCAGCAGUAGGGAAUCUUCCACAAUGGACGAAAGUCUGAUGGAGCAACGCCGCGUGAGUGAAGAAGGGUUUCGGCUCGUAAAACUCUGUUGUUAAAGAAGAACAUAUCUGAGAGUAACUGUUCAGGUAUUGACGGUAUUUAACCAGAAAGCCACGGCUAACUACGUGCCAGCAGCCGCGGUAAUACGUAGGUGGCAAGCGUUGUCCGGAUUUAUUGGGCGUAAAGCGAGCGCAGGCGGUUUUUUAAGUCUGAUGUGAAAGCCUUCGGCUCAACCGAAGAAGUGCAUCGGAAACUGGGAAACUUGAGUGCAGAAGAGGACAGUGGAACUCCAUGUGUAGCGGUGAAAUGCGUAGAUAUAUGGAAGAACACCAGUGGCGAAGGCGGCUGUCUGGUCUGUAACUGACGCUGAGGCUCGAAAGUAUGGGUAGCAAACAGGAUUAGAUACCCUGGGUAGUCCAUACCGUAAACGAUGAAUGCUAAGUGUUGGAGGGUUUCCGCCCUUCAGUGCUG
rnacentral:rRNA from 2 species